rnacentral:rRNA from 1 species
AUGCUUCACCAUGAACGCACUAUACCGCUAAUAGCUGAUACGCCCACAGAACUAUUAGUACGGAGCCAAGCAAUGGCGUCUCUUUACCGGGGCGUCCUCGCUGGCCUCGCGCUUCUAUUCAUGAACCUGCUGCUGAUACUGAUGGCGCGUCCCCCAUCCGCCGAUGGAGCAAGCACGGCGAAAAGCAAAAUCUCUGCAGUGUUUGUGUUCGGCGAUUCGAUCGUCGAUCCCGGCAACAACAACCACCGGCUGACGGAGGCGAAGGCCGACUUCCCGCCUUACGGGCAGGACUUCCCUGGCGGCAAGGCCACCGGGAGGUUCUCAAAUGGGAAGGUUCCCGGGGACAUGCUAGCUUCUAGGUUAGGAAUUAAGGAACUAUUGCCACCGUACCUCGGAGACGAUCUUCCAAUAAGUGAGCUACUCACCGGUGUUGUCUUCGCUUCUGGUGGCGGUGGAUAUGAUCCUUUUACUUCGAUACCCGUGAAUGCUAGAUCGAGCACUGAGCAACUUGGAUUAUUCCUCAAAUAUAAGGAGAGACUAAAAGCUUCAGUUGGAGAAGAUGAGAUGACACGUGUUAUAUCUGAAGGCAUAUACUUCACAGUAAUGGGGGCAAAUGACCUUGUAAAUAAUUAUUUUACAUUUCCUUUGAGGCCCCAUCAAUAUAAUCUUCCUUCGUACGUGAAAUUUCUUGUCUCUUCCGCCGUCAACUUUACUAUGAACUAA